rnacentral:sRNA from 12 species
AAGCUAUGAUUAAACAUUGUGUUCCAGAAUGCAUAGUGUUUAUAGCUUCCGUAGGGUUGUAUGUGUUUACCUCAAGUUGGAUAGGUCUGUUGGCUGAAAGAAAACAUUCUGA